AAUGGAUCUUUAAGAAGAAGACGGACGCGGAUGGUAAUGUCACCAUCUAUAAAGCUCGACUUGUCGCUAAGGGUUAUCGGCAAGUUCAAGGGAUUGACUACGAUGAGACUUUCUCUCCCGUAGCGAAGCUUAAUGUCACGCCCAAUAUGCGACCCUAUCCAAAAGGAACGCGAAGGUCCCAUCAAGGAUAGACCCGCAUAUUGAAACGCUUUUGCAAGGUGGAUAUCAUUACAUCAACAUUACAUAAUAGAUGGGGAUACAUACAUAAGGCAUACAAUGCCACACGAAUACAACAUCACAAUACAUAGAGCAUCACACAACUACGGAUGAAACACAAACAGAAACUCAAACGACAUCCACCCUGCUAGCCCAGGCUGCCGACCUGGAACCUAUCCCCCGAUCGAAGGAGCAGAAGAAGAACUCAACGCAAGCAAGCAUCGCUCUCGCGUCAUGAUCAUCGCACAACCUGUACCUGCAACUGUUGUUGUAGUAAUCUGUGAGCCAUGAGGACUCAGCAAUCCCAUUACCAUGGGUAUCAAGACUAGCAAAGCUUAAAGGGAAAGGAAGGGGUAAAGUGGUGAGGCUGCAGCAGCUACUAAGCAUAUAUGGUGGCUAACAUAUGGAAAUAAGAGCGAGAAGAGAGCAAGAGGAACGGUCGUCAACUAGUAAUGAUCAAGAAGUGAUCCUGAACUCCUACUUACGUCAAACAUAACUCAGAAACCGUGUUCACUUCCCGGACUCCGCCGAGAAGAGACCAUCACGGCUACACACGGUUGAUGCGUUUUAAUUUGGAUCUGGUGUCAAGUUAUCUACAACCGAACAUUAACAAAUUCCCAUCUGCCUAUAACCGCAGGCACGGCUUUCGAAAGAUAAUACCCUGCAGUGGUGUCCCAACUUAGCCCAUGACAAGCUCUCGCGAUCAACGAAGGAAUAGACCUUCUCCCAGGAAGACCCGAUCAGACUCGGAAUCCCGGUUUACAAGACAUUUCGACAAUGGUAAAACAAGACCAGCAAAGCCUCCCGCUAUGCCGACAAAUCCCGAUAGGAGCUGCACAUAUCUCGUUCUCAGGGCACACCGGAUUGUCCAGACUUCCGGUAGACCAGCCCAGAGUUGCCCCCGGUGGCCACCGGCGGCCGACAGUUUGGACCAACACUCACGACGAGCACUGGCCCGGGGGUGUAAAUAAAGAUGACCCUCGGGCUCCGGAAACCCAAGGGAAAAAAAGGGCUAGGUGAGGCAAAUGGUAAAACCAAUGUUGGGCCUUGCUAGAGGAGUUUUAUUCAAAGCGAACUGUCAAGUGGGUCCCAUAAAUCACCCGACCGCGUAAGGAACGCAAAAUCCGGGAACAUAACACCGGUAUGACGGAAACUAGGGCGGCAAGAGUGGAACAAAACACGAGGCAUAGGCAAGUUUAAAUGAGGCCGGAAACAACAAACAAUAAUUCCGGAAAAUCCUCAUGUCCAUAUUUUGAAUUUGGUACUGUUCUGCCCUAAAACAUAUUUUAAUAUUGUUAAACAGGAAAAUAAAGUGCACCAUGUUAAACUAGGCAUUUUUCCACCCCAUUUAUAUAUAAAGUUUAUUAAAGUUGGAGCUACGGUUAUUUAGUUAUGAAAUAAAUCAUUUUAACAUGCUAUUUAUGCAAAUUAAUGCAAACAACAAUUUUAAAUAUUUUAACAUGGAUGAAAGUUGCAUAUUGUGAAACCAGAUAAAAUUCUAAGCAUUUUACAUAUAUAGUUUGUUUAAUUUGGAUGCAUGCAUAUUUAGUUAUUAACAAUGUAAAACAGUGGCAAUUCUGUAAAUAAGAAUGCAUUGGAAAAUGGUAAAUUCAGAUUGGGAAAAAAAUAUGCACUGGCCGGAUUGCAGCAACCUGCAGCGGCCCAGGAAGAUUUGGCCCGAGUGAGCGCUGAGUGUGUGUGCGCGCGCGCAACAGUACAGGAAAAACUGAGCAAAAAUUGGGGUUCUAAAAAUGUUCCCGAGGGGAUUCGAACCCGGGUCUCCCCGGUAGAACUCUGCGCCCCGAUCCGCUGCGUUGCUGCUACUACUCUUGACCCGAUGGGCCACGGUUUCUUUUGAACUAGCUCCACGGCGGACGGGGUUUCUUCUCCUUUGCAACAGAGAAGACAUCGGCGACACCGGCGGGCAACGGUGAAACGGCGGGGCCCAGGAGGCGGCGGCGGGUGUGCGGGAUUGGGAGGUGGGUGCGCUGUGCGACGCGUGCGUACAGAGGCUCGAGCACGAGCUCGUGCUCAUCUCGGGCAUGACACGGCAAGGCGGGAUGUCAAUGGCAGCUUAGCGGCCAUGGGGCGAGAAGCGAGGCGUGCUGCGGGCGUGGGCGUGCGCGUGUACAGGAGCUUGCGCGAGGGGCUUGGCCAUGGCUACAGCCAUGGCUGCCGGCUGGAAUAGAGGUGUGUGGGACUCGUGCGCGUGCCGCGGCGGGCUCGGCGCUAGAUCAUCCAGCUUAACUGAACCAACCUGAAGAGAACAGAGACAGAUUGCGCCGUGGCUGGGCACGCACGACAGUGUGCGUGUGUGUGCAGCGAGGGGUGUGCGUGGAUGCAUGAGUGGUGCUGUGGGUGUGAGAAGGGGCGGAACAGAGGAGCCAAGGCAAGAGCUUGAGCUCCUCGUAUACAGCCAUGGCGGACGAACUCGGAGACGCGCGGAACGAUGGAUAUGCCAACAAGACCAGAGAGGGAUGGAUAGGAUCGGAGCUUCACCGAGGGGUUGCUGCUGGAGUCGUACAAGGUCGACGGCGACCGGAGACGACGUGAGGAUGCGCUGAUCUUGGCGUUCCUCUGAACCGUGAAGAAGACGAAGCGGAGGAAGAAGACGUCGAGGGACUUGGCGAUCCUUGGGCGAGAUGAUGAAGACGAAGACGACGAUCUUGACGCCCCCGAGAAAGAAGAGGGUGGCCACUGGAAGGAUCAAGCCGAGCACGAGCUCAAACUCGACUCGGACAUGGCGUCGGCUAUGGCGUGGGCUACCCUUACCUGGAGCGGCGGCGGCGCCGAGAGAGGGGAAUGGGGAGAGGG
rnacentral:lncRNA from 1 species